AUUGAACGCUAGCGGCAUGCUUUACACAUGCAAGUCGAACGAGUGGCGGACGGGUGAGUAAUAUAUCGGAACGUGCCCAAUAGCGGGGGAUAACUACUCGAAAGGGUGGCUAAUACCGCAUACUAUUGGAGCUGCCCAUAUGGGAUUAGCUAGUUGGUGGGGUAAAGGCUCACCAAGGCAACGAUCCGUAGCUGGUUUGAGAGGAUGACCAGCCACACUGGGACUGAGACACGGCCCAGACUCCUACGGGAGGCAGCAGUGGGGAAUUUUGGACAAUGGGAGAAAGCCUGAUGCAGCCAUCCCGCGUGUAUGAGAAGGCCUUCGGGUUGUAAAGUACUUUUGGCAGAGAAGCGGUAUCUGCAGAAUAAGCACCGGCUAACUACGUGCCAGCAGCCGCGGUAAUUC
rnacentral:rRNA from 1 species